GAUGAACGCUGGCGGCGUGCCUAAUACAUGCAAGUCGAGCGAACAGACGAGGAGCUUGCUCCUCUGACGUUAGCGGCGGACGGGUGAGUAACACGUGGAUAACCUACCUAUAAGACUGGGAUAACUUCGGGAAACCGGAGCUAAAACCGGAUAAUAUAUUGAACCGAAGGGUUAAAUAGUGAAAGAGGGUUUUGCUGUCACUUAUGGAGGGUUCCGCGCCGCAUUAGCUAGUUGGUAAGGUAACGGCUUACCAAGGCAACGAUGCGUAGCCGACCUGAGAGGGUGAUCGGCCACACUGGAACUGAGACACGGUCCAGACUCCUACGGGAGGCAGCAGUAGGGAAUCUUCCGCAAUGGGCGAAAGCCUGACGGAGCAACGCCGCGUGAGUGAUGAAGGUCUUCGGAUCGUAAAACUCUGUUAUUAGGGAAGAACAAAUGUGUAAGUAACUAUGCACGUCUUGACGGUACCUAAUCAGAAAGCCACGGCUAACUACGUG
rnacentral:rRNA from 1 species